CUUACUCGUUGCAGUUCAUCUGAGAGCACGCUCCUUCAGCGUCCUUUGAAGCACUUUGCCUCCCGAUUCGGAAGGGAGACUUUAAAUAAAAGGCAAACAUAACCAGUGUCUCCACUUAAAAGCCCUUUAAAGGCUUGGAAAUGAUUAAUGUGUUUAAAGUAUAAACUGUAGCUGCUUUAAGAGGAGAUAAAUAUGAGAUUGAGACUUCUGGCUGCACAAACAGUGCGAACGCGUAAGUAAACAGCGCCGACAAGUUCAGCGCUCCGGCGGAGACACAGCGCGCGUGUCCUGCACCGCGGCCAGGAGCAAACAGCAGCAGCGCCCACACCUGUUAGGAACACCGAGGAGAGACUGGCAUCCAACCAGGUGAGCCAAGUGAACCGUUCAACCAAAGGGACCUUUUGACCAAACCUGCUCCCCACGCCUGUCCUUUGAGCCCCACCGUCCGGCAACCCACGCAGAUGAGAUCUGUUGGCUCCACCACCCAUCUGCAGACUCUCCAGUUCUUCUUGGAAAUCCAUGCGCCACUCAAGACAGAGCUCCAGGAAGCCAGCAGCAGCUGGUAUCAAGCCCUGCAUCUCAGGUUGGGUAUUAGGAACUGCAGUUCUGCAUUGGCACAGCUGCCCAGGGAGUGGUGGGAUCACCAUCUGUGGAGGCGUUGCAGAGCUGCGGGGAUGUGGCAGUGAGGGGUGUGGGCAGUGGGAAUGGUGGGGUGUGCUGAGAUGCAGAGAGGUCUUUUCCAACCUUAAUGUUCCCACGGUUCUCUGAUUGCCCAACGUGGAAGUUGCUGGUCCAGGACCCAGCCCAGGGCAAGGCUGCACCAGCACAGGGAGAUCGGACCCCAGCACUGAGCUCCAUCCCCUCGCAUUUCUGCUGACCUUGUAGGCCAUCCAAAAGGGGAACCUGACUUUGUGAUACAUCACUGCGCUGCAGGGGCAGCCACCCCAGCUCAGGCUCAGCGCUCCUCUUCCUGCUAAGCAAGCUCUUACUCUUCUUGUCAUCUUGCAUUUGCUCAGCUUGGACUUGAAAACGUGCCAGGAGCUCAUAGGGACCUGCGUUCAGGAGAUCACCAUGCCUGGAAGAACAAGGCAAUGCUUUUAGGGGGGCAUCCGCUCCGCUGCUUCGGAAAGGCAAGCUCAGCAAUGGGGAAAAAAAAUAGAGGAAAAAAACCCAAAGCACCACCUGCAUUUACUUUGUGUGACCUCCAGCUCUGCCUAUCGCUCACGCAGAAUAAACAGGGAGGGGAGGGAAAAAAAAAGCACCGUGUCCUAAAGCAAACAGCAAGGACAAGCUUGAUGAGAGUAUUUAAGCAGUUAUUAGAGAGCGCCUGAUUGCAAACCUUGUAGGAGCCCCACGGAACAUGUGAUGUUUGUUUUACCAGCACUUAGCAGCUGUCCUGUUAAGGAAGAGAACAAAGUGUAGGUGUUAUAAAGUCAAUAUUGUUACAGGAAGGCGUGUGACAAAGGUCUGCCGAGCCGCAGCGAAAUGAAAUCACUUUCUCGUUGGGUUUAUACAGCUUAGCUGAGGUUUAUAUUAUUUCCCUGAAUUACUUUCCCAGAUGUGUACGACAUAAAAGAUUAAGAUCGUGGGCCCAACAUGAUUAUUUCCACUGAUGGGAUUAAAGCGGGUUGGGGUUUUUUUUUUUUCCCCUUCUUGUUUUUAGAUCUGAAAUCGGAGAUGGAUUUUUGGGAUGGAACCCAACGCGUUUCCAGGGGCUGCCCCAGGGGAAGGGCUGCUCCCAAAGCCCAGCACGGGGCACAGCCCCCCCAGCACUGCCCCAACCCAAAGCGACCCUUUAAAUGGAUCAGCAUCCGCUCCUCGUUGCCAAGAUGUGAACUGCAGAGGCCACAAAUCCCAUUGGCAUCCUUAUGGAUGAAUGGACUCUCAAGAGCGGUAACCUUAACAAAAAUAAAUAAUUUCUUUGCACCUGGCUCGUUAGAGCAUUAAGGCCUCUCUGUGCCUGCACAUCCAGUUCCUAGGGCAGAAACCAUCCAAGCCCUUCCUCCACACACAGUUUUAUAUUAACAUUUCCUUUCAGAUUGCCAAAUUUUGGGCCGGCUUUGCCAGAGCCGUAGAACUGCAGUAAGAAGACAAAUCCACAGCACCACCCAUGCCAAUAAAAGGGAUAUUUUUCCCCACUACGAAAAUAACAUCUAACAAAAAGCCAUGAGCCAAGGCUCAUUGAAGGCAGCUUCCUUCAGAGCAUCCCUGGGGCAGGGCUCUGUAUGGAACUCUACGAAGGGCUGGAGGGCCCCACUCUCCCGUUGCACACCACCCAGGCGCCGUUCCCGUGGGAUCCCCAUGCAGGGCCCCCCCACCUUCCUGGGUUUCCAUUCUGCUCCACUCGGUGCCUGCAGGAAGGAGGAUUACCGUGAUCCUCCUUGCAGCCAUUAACCUCCGCUUGCGAGGACACCAGAGGUGAAUGAGUAACUCCAGUUCUUGGGUAACACAAAAACACAGUGCUGUCGCCAACGCACACGGAGAAGUGAUUUCAUUUCCAUACGUGAGAGUAAACACUCCUUUUUUCUCCUCUAAACGCAGUGGUUAUUUGGUUAAGCCGGCUCCCGCUUUGCACAUUUGCACGUUUUUAUGAGGCCCAUCCAUCCAUCAUGGCCUUGGCACCCAGCGCAGCACCGCGUGCCUCCAUUCCGCAGUUCCUCCCGUUAUGAGAUCGGACCCAGAGGAAGGGGUGAGGAAAUCCAGGCUGGAGGCGACCUCUGCUACGCUUUACACCUCUGGAAACGCCAUCAGCAAAGCCUUCGUCUGCACUUAAGCACCAUUUAACGAUGAAAUGGGCCCUGAGCUCCAUAACACAAAGGCUUUUCCCAUAGCUGCGCCCUUCCCCAAGGCACAGUGCCUGAGCCCAGCAGGAAAUGCAUCCCAUCCGUGUCACCUCGCUGCAGCAGAGGGUAUGGGACGCUGUGGAGCUGCUCCCAGCAGCGGUGGAAGAAGGGCCAUAGGAAGGGAAUGGAGCAUUUGUUCUCCAUCCCAGCUCCACUGCAUUCUCCCACCCACGCUCUCCCCCCGCCAACUCCGCAAAUAGCAGCCCUGCCUUGUUUAUAAAGGCAGUGUUGACAUUUUGUUAUAAAUGGUAAUGUCAAUUUGAUAAAGUUAAUUACUUAUUAUUUGGAAUCUAAUUUGCAUUGGAAGUUGGGUUCAUUAAAAAGCAGGAGUGGUGUUUAACAGAGAGGCUCCAAAAGCACCUGGAGGGGCUCAGCCCGCAGCUCCUCCCGCUGCCGGCAUGCAUUAACCCAGCAGAUGAGAGCAUUAACAGGGCAGUGUGAAGAAUUCCCACUGCAGUCAUGCAUGCAGCCAGCCCAGGCUCGAGUAAAUGUUUACUUAGUCUUAUUUUCCAACUGGAUUUCUUAAAGUGGCUGCAAAGUUCUGCUUUCCAACUGCGCUCCAGUUCUGAGUCCGCAGCAAAGCGCUCUUCAUGCAUGCAUUGAUUCUCAUGCCUGUAUUGUGUUCAACAUACCUCUGUUAUUGCAUCUUCCUUUGUGUUAGUUCAUUCUAAUUGCACUUCUUCCAAACUUCAGGAACCCAAAGCAGGAGGGUCCUCCACCUUCAGCCUCAUACCUCCUCCACCUAGCAGUGGAGAGUCCAAUCCCAUAUCUGAGUGCAUCACAGGGAUCCAUGGCACCGGGAACAGCCCAUAUCCUCCAUCUGCAGGACCACAGUCCCAGGCAGGAAAGGUAGUGCCAGUACAACCCAGUGGCGGGUGGGGUUCUCCAGGCAGCCUAGAGGUAGGAAUGCUCCCUACAGAGCCAGGCUGCAUCCUCAGAACCAGCCCUGUUCACCUCUAUCACCCACUGAGGGGAGUUUCCAGCAAGGGCAACCCCACAGGGUAUCCCAAAUGCCCUCAUCCUCACAACCACAUCCCAGCAGGCUGUGAAUCACUGCCCCAUUGGGUUUAGUGUCAGUGAUUGCCACUGACAUCGAGGACAUCCUUGCCCCUUUACCUCCUCACCUUUUUGCAUUGCAGAUCUGGGCCGAGAUCCUUCCCCUCACAGCUUUG
ensembl:lncRNA